GACAGAGGAUGCAAGCGUUAUCCGGAAUGAUUGGGCGUAAAGCGCGUGUAGGCGGCCCGGUAAGUCCGCUGUGAAAGUCGGGGGGCUCAACCCUCGGAUGCCGGUGGAUACUGUCGGGCUCGAGUACGGAAGAGGCGAGUGGAAUUCCUGGUGUAGCGGUGAAAUGCGCGGAUAUCAGGAGGAACACCAAUUGCGAAGGCAGCUCGCUGGGACGUUACUGACGCUGAGACGCGAAAGCGUGGGGAGCAAACAGG
rnacentral:rRNA from 1 species